GGGCGGUUAGCUCAGUUGGUAGAGCGCUUUCUUGACGUGAAAGAUGUCAUAGGUUCGAGUCCUAUACCGUCCACCA
rnacentral:tRNA from 1 species